GGAACACUCACUGAUUUGUUUGGUUUCUGGGGACAAUACCUGAUGGGAAUGGGUGCUUUCUGAGCGCAAAUCUGAGAUACUUUUGAAGGAAUGGGAUCUCAUUAACUACCGGUUCAGUUUUCUUUUGUACAAGUGGAGUCCUUUGCUUGAUUUUGGGUAAAGUUUAGUGGUUGAUAAGUGAGGCCAACAUGGUGGUGACUGACCAAUGACGAGAUUUGCACUGUCAUGGUCAGAUCCCUCAAAGUCAAAAGGGGGUUAUCGUUGAUCUGUUCAUUCAUAGAUCAGAUUGAAAAGGAGACACUGCAGACCUUAAAAGAUAUUUCAACAAAAUCAGAGAUAGUUGAAAAUCUUGUUCUAGGUUAGCUUCAGGUCCCAGUGUGAUCUACCAGG